CGGACAGCAAUAGUGAAGGUCAGGCUGAAGACCUUACCCGAUUAGCUGAGAGGUGGUGCAUGGCCGUCGUCAGUUCGUACUGUGAAGCAUCCUGUUAAGUCAGGCAACGAGCGAGACCCACGUCCACAGUUGCCAGCAUACCCUCCGGGGUGAUGGGUACACUGUGGAGACCGCCGCUGCUAAAGCGGAGGAAGGAGUGGGCAACGGUAGGUCAGUAUGCCCCGAAUCUCCCGGGCUACACGCGGGCUACAAUGGUUGGUACAAUGGGCAUCUACCCCGAAAGGGGAAGGAAAUCUCUUAAAGCCAAUCGUAGUUCGGAUUGAGGGCUGCAACUCGCCCUCAUGAAGCUGGAAUCCGUAGUAAUCGCGUUUCAACAGAACGCGGUGAAUACGUCCCUGCUCCUU
rnacentral:rRNA from 1 species